AAGAUACCUGUUUGGCUUUUAAUGAGGGGGAACUCGCUGAUUUUAAGUCAAUAUUAAGUUAAUUUGAGAUUUAUAGAUCACAAGAACGUAAAUUACAAAUGGGAUCUUAUUUAAAAGCCUGCGUAAGCAAAGGUUUUAUGCUCAGUGUCUUUCACGAAUCGAACCACUGAGGAGCCUGACGGGCCAGACGGAUUACCAGGACGUGGACCAACUGGCAAGUGUCUUCACUGACAUGUUCAACCUCUCCCUGUCUGAGUCUGUAAUACCAACAUGUUUCAAGCAGACCACUAUAGUCCCUGGGCCCAAGAACACGAAGAUCCACAGAUGAUGCAAUCUCCAUUGCACUCCACACUGCCCUUUCACACCUGGACUAGAGGAACACCUAUGUGAGAAAGCUAUUCAUUGACUACAGCUCAGCGUUCAACACCAUAGUACCCUCAAAGCUCAUCACUAAGCUAAGGACCCUGGGACUAAACACCUCCCUCUGCAACUGGAUCCUGGACUUCCUGACGGGCC
rnacentral:lncRNA from 1 species